GAUGAACGCUGGCGGCGUGCUUAACACAUGCAAGUCGAACGAAGCACUUUAUUUGAUUUCCUUCGGGACUGAUUAUUUUGUGACUGAAUGGCGGACGGGUGAGUAACGCGUGGGUAACCUGCCUUGUACAGGGGGAUAACAGUUGGAAACGGCUGCUAAUACCGCAUAAGCGCACAGCAUCGCAUGAUGCAGUGUGAAAAACUCCGGUGGUAUAAGAUGGACCCGCGUUGGAUUAGCUAGUUGGUGAGGUAACGGCCCACCAAGGCGACGAUCCAUAGCCGACCUGAGAGGGUGACCGGCCACAUUGGGACUGAGACACGGCCCAAACUCCUACGGGAGGCAGCAGUGGGGAAUAUUGCACAAUGGGCGAAAGCCUGAUGCAGCGACGCCGCGUGAGCGAAGAAGUAUUUCGGUAUGUAAAGCUCUAUCAGAAGGGAAGAUAAUGACGGUAACUGACUAAGAAGCACCGGCUAAAUACGUG
rnacentral:rRNA from 1 species